rnacentral:rRNA from 1 species
ACGGGAGGCAGCAGUCGGGAAUAUUGCGCAAUGGAGGAAACUCUGACGCAGUGACGCCGCGUAUAGGAAGAAGGUUUUCGGAUUGUAAACCUCUGUUAUUAGUGAAGAAACAAAUGACGGUAGCUAAUGAGGAAGCCACGGCUAACUACGUGCCAGCAGCCGCGGUAAUACGUAGGUGGCAAGCGUUGUCCGGAAUUACUGGGUGUAAAGGGUGCGCAGGCGGGACUGUAAGUUGGAUGUGAAAUACCGUGGCUUAACCACGGAGCUGCAUCCAAAACUGCGGUUCUUGAGUGAAGUAGAGGUAGGCGGAAUUCCGAGUGUAGCGGUGAAAUGCGUAGAUAUUCGGAGGAACACCAGUGGCGAAGGCGGCCUACUGGGCUUUAACUGACGCUGAGGCACGAAAGCAUGGGGAGCAAACAGGAUUAGAUACCCUGGUA